rnacentral:rRNA from 1 species
UACGUAGGGUGCGAGCGUUGUCUGGAAUUACUGGGCGUAAAGAGCUCGUAGGUGGUUUGUCGCGUUGUUCGUGAAAACUCACAGCUUAACUGUGGGCGUGCGGUCGAUACGGGCAGACUUGAGUUCGGCAGGGGAGACUGGAAUUCCUGGUGUAGCGGUGAAAUGCGCAGAUAUCAGGAGGAACACCGGUGGCGAAGGCGGGUCUCUGGGCCGAUACUGACGCUGAGGAGCGAAAGCGUGGGGAGCGAACAGG